rnacentral:rRNA from 1 species
UACGGAGGGUGCAAGCGUUGUUCGGAAUCACUGGGCGUAAAGGGCGUGUAGGCGGUCCGCUAAGUCUGAUGUGAAAGCCCGAGGCUUACCCUCGGAAGUGCAUUGGAGACUGGCGGACUAGAGUCCCGGAGAGGAAGGUGGAAUUCCUGGUGUAGCGGUGAAAUGCGUAGAUAUCAGGAGGAACACCGGUGGCGAAGGCGGCCUUCUGGACGGUGACUGACGCUGAGACGCGAAAGCGUGGGGAGCAAACAGG